rnacentral:misc_RNA from 1 species
GAUGAAGAACGUAGUGAAAUGCGAAACUUGGUGUGAAUUGCAGAAUCCCGUGAACCAUCGAGUCUUUGAACGCAAGUUGCGCCCGAAGCCAUUAGGCCGAGGGCACGCCUGCCUGGGCGUCACACGUCGUUGCCCCCCCAUCUACUCCUUCGGGAUUGCAGGGGGCGGAUGAUGGCCUCCCGUGCGCCUUGUCGCGCGGUUGGCAUAAAUGCCAAGUCCUCGGCGACGCACGCCACGACAAUCGGUGGUUGCGAAACCUCGGUUGCCCGUCGUGUGCGGUCGUCGCGCAUCGAGGGCUCGAAAAAAUUGUCGGGCUCCGGCUCGGCUUUCAACGCGACCCCAGGUCAGGCGGGGUUACCCGCUGAAUUUAAGCAUAUCAAUAAGCGGAGGA